rnacentral:rRNA from 1 species
AUUGAACGCUGGCGGCAGGCUUAACACAUGCAAGUCGAACGGUAACAGGGAGAAACUUGUUUUCUGCUGACGAGUGGCGGACGGGUGAGUAAUGCUUGGGAAUCUGCCUUAUGGAGGGGGAUAACCACUGGAAACGGUGGCUAAUACCGCGUAAUAUCUUCGGAUUAAAGUGUGGGACUUUCGAGCCACACGCCAUAAGAUGAGCCCAAGUGAGAUUAGGUUGUUGGUGAGGUAAUGGCUCACCAAGCUUACGAUCUCUAGCUGGUUUGAGAGGAUGACCAGCCACACUGGGACUGAGACACGGCCCAGACUCCUACGGGAGGCAGCAGUGGGGAAUAUUGCACAAUGGGCGCAAGCCUGAUGCAGCCAUGCCGCGUGAAUGAAGAAGGCCUUAGGGUUGUAAAGUUCUUUCAUUAGUGAGAAAGCGGUUAUAUCUAAUAGGUGUAACCAUUGAUGUUAGCUAAAGAAGAAGCACCGGCUAACUCCGUGCCAGCAGCCGCGGUAAUACGGAGGGUGCGAGCGUUAAUCGGAAUGACUGGGCGUAAAGGGCACGCAGGCGGUUAUUUAAGUCAGAUGUGAAAGCCCCGAGCUUAACUUGGGAAUUGCAUUUGAUACUGGGUAACUAGAGUCCUCUAGGGAGGGGUAGAAUUCCAUGUGUAGCGGUGAAAUGCGUAGAGAUGUGGAGGAAUACCGAAGGCGAAGGCAGCCCCUUGGAGAGAGACUGACGCUCAUGUGCGAAAGCGUGGGUAGCAAACAGG